rnacentral:rRNA from 1 species
UCAGGCCUAACACAUGCAAGUCGUACGAGAGUUUUUAACUCUAGUGGCGGACGGGUGAGUAACACGUGAGAAUUUGCCUUUAGGAGGGGGACAACAAUUGGAAACGAAUGCUAAUACCCCAUAUGCUUUCGAGUGAAAUGGAUUUUAUCCGCCUAGAGAGAAGCUCGCGGCUGAUUAGCUUGUUGGUAAGGUAAGAGCUUACCAAGGCGACGAUCAGUAUCUGGUUUGAGAGGACGAUCAGACACACUGGAACUGAGACACGGUCCAGACUCCUACGGGAGGCAGCAGUGGGGAAUUUUCCGCAAAGGGCGAAAGCCUGACGGAGCAAUACCGCGUGAGGGAAAAAAGCCUAUGGGUUGUAAACCUCUUUUUCAGGGAGGAAAAAAUGAC